GACGAACGCUGGCGGCGUGCUUAACACAUGCAAGUCGAACGGAAAGGCCCUGCUUUUGUGGGGUGCUCGAGUGGCGAACGGGUGAGUAACACGUGAGUAACCUGCCCUUGACUUUGGGAUAACUUCAGGAAACUGGGGCUAAUACCGGAUAGGAGCUCCUGCUGCAUGGUGGGGGUUGGAAAGUUUCGGCGGUUGUGGAUGGACUCGCGGCUUAUCAGCUUGUUGGUGGGGUAGUGGCUUACCAAGGCUUUGACGGGUAGCCGGCCUGAGAGGGCGACCGGCCACAUUGGGACUGAGAGACGGCCCAGAAUCCUACGGGAGGCAGCAGUGGGGAAUAUUGCACAAUGGGCGGAAGCCUGAUGCAGCAACGCCGCGUGCGGGAUGAUGGCCUUCGGGUUGUAAACCGCUUUCGCCGGUGACGAAGCGUGAGUGACGGUAAUGGGUAAAGAAGCACCGGCUAACUACGUG
rnacentral:rRNA from 1 species